GACGAACGCUGGCGGCGUGCUUAACACAUGCAAGUCGAACGGAAAGGCCCUGCUUUUGCUGCGUGCUCGAGAGGCGAACGGGUGAGUGACACGCGUGUAACCUGCCCCUGACUUUGGGAUAACACCAGGAAACUGGGGCUAUUAUCGGAUAGAAGCUCCUGCUGCAUGGGGGGGGUUGGAAAGAUUCGGCGGUUGGGGAUGGACUCGCUGCUUAUGCGCUGGUUGGUGAGGUAGUGGCAUACCAAGGCUGUGACGGGUAGCCGGCCUGGGAGGGUUGACGGCCACCAUGCGCCUGCGAUACGGAGCAGACUCCUACGGGACGCAGCAGGCGGGAGUAUUGCAGAGUGGCCGGGAGCCUGUUGCGGAGAUGCCGCGUGCGGAAUGACGGCCUUCGGGUGGUAAACCGAUUUCGACUGUGACGUGGCGUGAGUGACGGUAAUGGGUAAAGAAGCACCGGCUAACUACGUG
rnacentral:rRNA from 1 species